GUGGCCACUACGAAUUCCACAUUGAACUGUGUGAUCUUUUUCUGGAAGAAUGACGUUUUGCGCAGAGAGGGGAAAAAAGUAUUGAAAACCGUGAAAAACCGUCUUUUCCCAUGCUAAAGUUGGCCACGCUCUCUGGCCCAGCUUAAAUUAUCCAUAUUUGACUGACACUAUAUAGUUCCGUAAAACGAAUUGUUCAUCAGGAUAUAGAACUCGUCUGUCGUUAAAUAGGUUAAGGAUAAAAAAUCAGCCAAAUGUGCAACCUCGUACCCAGGGUAUUUUGCUUCCCACUCGGCGAAAA